AGAAUACUUAUCCUGGUCCCAGCAGAAACCUGGACAAGCUCCUACACAACUCAUCUAUGAUGGUGUCACCCGGAAACCCGGAGUCCCAGCCCGGUUCAGUGGCACUGGGACUGACACCGAUUUCACUCUCACUGUCAGCAGCAUUGAAGCCACAGAUGCUGGAGAUUAUUACUGUCAGCAGUAUCAGAGCUGGCGGUACAAUUUCGGCAAGGGGACCCGGGUAGAGAUCAAACGCAGAGAAGAUGCUUCACCUAAGGUAUCCAUCUUUCCCCCGUCGGCUGAGCAGCUUAAAGGGGGAAGAGCCACCGUGGUGUGCCUGGUCUCUGGCUUCUAUCCAAGUGAUGCGGGCAUGAGCUGGAAGGUGGACGGCACCUCCACUAGCACCGGUGUCCUCACCAGCACGGUGCAACAGGAUGCCGCUGACAACACGUACAGCAAGAGCAGCACCCUGACGAUCCCGGCAUCCGAGUACAACUCUCACAACGUCUACACCUGUGAGGUGACACACAAAACCUUGAAGGAACCUCUUACGAAGAGUUUCAAGAGGACCGAGUGUACGCAGUAGGAGGGCAGCAGGGGAGGGUCCCUGCUUCCUUCUGGCAGCCUUUCUUAUGCUUUCUUUAUGAAACUAUCCUUCUUUUCCAUUUGUUUCCAUCCCAGUAUAUGAUGAUGGAGAUCUUCAUGACCUCCCGUCCUUCCUCGCCCCUUGCUAAUUAUACCAUAUAACUGGGCCACCCUGCCUCCUCUCGCCCUACAGCCUAACACUGUUUCCUGCUCUUAUCAUGUGUCAAGUAUGAAAAAUUCAUAAAUAAAUGGAAUGAGUGAAAAGUCAUCUGUUUUCUCACUGUGUUUUUAAUGUGAUGAUCAAAAUAAAGUGAACUCAGGUGAAGUACAUGAA